rnacentral:lncRNA from 1 species
AAACUGAGUACAUCAGCAACAACCCCGUUUCCAAAUCAGAUCACAUUCUGAGACUCCAGGAGUUACAGCUAUAAUAUAUCUUUUGGGGGGGAACACAAUUCAAUCCAUAAAAAUACUGAAAACAACAAAGCAGGAUAAAGGGUCCGCAACUGAGAGGACAAAGAAUGAAACCGAGAACAAACUUUGCAUGCUCCUCUGUUUUUUUUUUUUUUUUUUUGGCUGCAGUGCGUUUUCGUUGCUGUGUGUGGACUUUCUCUAGUUGCAGUCCAUGGGCUUCUUUCUCAGUGCAGUGACUUCUCUUGUUGCAGAGCACAGGCUCAGUGGUUGAGGCCCUCAGGCUUAGUUGCCCCACAGCAGGUGCCCCCAGACCAGGAAUCAAACCCAUAUCCCCUGCAUUGGCAGGCGGAUUCCUAACCACUGAACCACCAAGGAAAUCUACUCUGUAUUUUUUUGCCCUGUCUCAUGUGCUUAUCCAUAAUGACUGUUCUUGCUUUCGCUACUACAGCUCUUCCAUCUCUCUUCACAGUAAUUUAUUAAUUAUUGGGAAAUUCCAAGUACAAGUUCGUGUGUACUGAUAAGCUCCCAGCUGCAAGUGACAAAAUUCCAACUCAAAUUGGCUUAAGUUAAAGGGGAGGUGGGUGUUUUGUUGACUGAAAAGUCCAGGAGUGUGUAAGUAGAGUUCAAAUAAGGCAGGACCUAGAGCCUCAAACAAUGUCAGCUGAGUUCUAUUUUCCAUCUUUCAGCUAGGCUUUAUGCACAUUUCAUGAUACAGCUUUUUUUUUUUUUUAGGCUACCAAGGGCAGUGGCCAGAGGCAUAGUUGCAUGCCAGACGUUUGUAGGUGCCAGUUAAGGAUUCUCACCACUUUGAAAAAUGGUGGGAAUGGAAAUACUAUACGGGCUGCAUUUGAGAACCAGACUGCAAAGACAGGUCCACUGUGGCUGAGGAGGAAAGCACAGUUCUCUGUACAGAAGGUAGAAGGUAGGACUGUCUCCCUCUCUGCUCAUUUCUCUCUCUCUCUUUAUCUCUCUCUCCAUCGCUUUCUCUGCCUAUGCGUAACUGGAAACUAUUGUUUGGCUUUCUAUAACUAAAACUAACAGUCUCACUUCUUUAGGGCUUUCCUAUUAGUCAGAAGCAUACAAGACAGAACAGCCCUGGAUGUAAAUCCACCAUCACUAGCUUUGUAACUUUGCCAAGUCAACUCACUCAGUUUGCCCAUCUGUAAAUUGGAAACAAUGACAUUCAUUUCCCAGAGUUUUUGUGAGAAUGAAAUGAGAUGGUGGAUUAUAAAGGGCUGGGCCUUUUGUCUGGAUUAAGAAAUGCCUAGAAAAGCAAAUUUCCUUUGUUCCUAUUUUUUUAUGCCAGCUCCAUGUUACUAGUCACAGCUUUUUCACACUCAGUAAGGAAGACCCUUGGAAGGCAGAGGUUUAAGAGGUCCUUCUUUCUCCAAAUACUUAAACCUCUGAUCUACCUAACCUAUAAAAGUAUGACUUGUGUUGAACAGUUUUUUUUUUUAACUAAAAUAUACAAAGUCACAAAAGUACUUUAACAAAGGGCUCUUGGGAGAAAAAUUUCUCACCCCAAAAAACAAUCUGCCAGUUCCAAAAAACGUGCUGUUCUGCCAUUCCCACAACUGUUUAGAAACCAUUUACCACCAUGUCAUUCAAAACCAACAAAGACCCAUAGCACCUGGCCCUUGCCACUCUAGGUUUUUCUUUAUAUAAACCCAUCAACAGGCCUGGCCUGCAGGAUGACUCUGCAGGCAAGGCUCAGUGAAAAGGUGAGGUUUCUUUGCUAGUUCGGACUGCUUACACCUGAGGGACUCUGACUGAUUCUCUGUUCAGUCAUUUACUCAUUCAACCAACAUGCACUGAGC